GAAAUUAAGAAGAAGCACCCGCUUCUCGCCUUAGUGAUAUUUAUGACUGGGCUUGAUAGAAAAUUUUCCUUAUUUAUAUAGGGAUAAUUGUUUAGGUGCGGGACUUUUUAAUAUUAAAAAGACUCGUUUUUUUUCGUUUUU
rfam:Enterococcus sp. 6C8_DIV0013 scaffold00002, whole genome shotgun sequence.